rnacentral:rRNA from 1 species
GACGAACGCUGGCGGCGUGCUUAACACAUGCAAGUCGAACGGAAAGGCCCUGCUUUUGUGGGGUGCUCGAGUGGCGAACGGGUGAGUAACACGUGAGUAACCUGCCCUUGACUUUGGGAUAACUUCAGGAAACUGGGGCUAAUACCGGAUAGGAGCUCCUGCUGCAUGGUGGGGGUUGGAAAGUUUCGGCGGUUGGGGAUGGACUCGCGGCUUAUCAGCUUGUUGGUGGGGUAGUGGCUUACCAAGGCUUUGACGGGUAGCCGGCCUGAGAGGGUGACCGGCCACAUUGGGACUGAGAUACGGCCCCGACUCCUACGGGAGGCAGCAGUGGGGAAUAUUGCCCAAUGGGCGGAAGCCUGAUGCAGCAACGCCGCGUGCGGGAUGACGGCCUUCGGGUUGUAAACCGCUUUCGCCUGUGACGAAGCGUGAGUGACGGUAAUGGGUAAAGAAGCACCGGCUAACUACGUG